rnacentral:lncRNA from 1 species
CUGAAUGACACUUACAAUGUUGCAGGUCCUGAACUGUCCAAAUGGUUAGUACAAGAAUCAAAUCUGUGAUGGGAAAAGGGUGAAGCAUCACUUACCAAAACUGUAUCUAUUUGUAGGGUGAAAACUAGCAGACAUAUAGUUUUUUGGCUAUUCUAUUUAAUAAUGAAAAAAAAAAAAAGAGUUCGAUUAAAACUGCAAAGGCCUACUUUGGUGAACUAAAUAAAAUUACUCUGGCUGGGAACUAAACAAAAUACAACAAUUAAUCAUGUGAUUUUGACCUAAAGUUGCAAUACAUUUUAAUGAAAACAUUUCUGAGCCUCUGUUUUGAAUCCUGCACUCAGUAGGCCAAUCUAGAAUGACCACAGAAGUGGGCUCUAGUAGAGAAAAGAAGGGUUGUGAGUACCCAGAAUAGUCCAGUCUUACACUUUCCUUUAGACAAGUCUUUUAAAAGUCUAAUAUUCGGCCACCAGAUUUGAGUCACUUUUAUGGAAGGGUUAAUUUUAGGUUAGCUCUGGUCUGGUUGGGAAAGUUAAGUUGUUAAAUGGAUUGCUUGGUUUGCCCCAGGGCAGACAUGUUUCUAAUGUUUGAUUCUAACGUAAUCUGGCUUCCUUUCAGCAUUAUAGAAUGAAGAGGACCAGGGACAAGUCAGAUUCCCAGGGCCUCUGAGGAGCAGAACAAGAUCGCUUUGGCCAGACACAAUCAGGAUUGGUUAUGGAAUUAAGCCAGCUUCCAGAACUGGAGAUGCUACCGUUGCUGGGGAAAUGUCACUGUUAGAGAAUAGAAAACUAUUAUUCCAAAGAGGACUGAAGACUGACUGAAUCAGGUCUGGAACAUUAUUGAAAUGCCCUUCCAGUUUUUCCCUUUGCUGAUAUUCUCCCAGGAUGUUGAUGGGAUGUUGAUGUUGACCUGAAGUUCUCUGGUCACCUUCUUAGUAAACUUUGAUUAUAGAUUCUGGAUGAAAACCCAUCUCAUCUCUCUGAAAAAUGCUCAAGUUCCCCAUAUCAUCUGUCUC